rnacentral:rRNA from 1 species
GACGAACGCUGGCGGCGUGCCUAAUACAUGCAAGUAGAACGCUGAAGGAGGAGCUUGCUCUUCUGGAUGAGUUGCGAACGGGUGAGUAACGCGUAGGUAACCUGCCUGGUAGCGGGGGAUAACUAUUGGAAACGAUAGCUAAUACCGCAUAACAGUAGAUGUUGCAUGACAUUUACUUAAAAGGUGCAAUUGCAUCACUACCAGAUGGACCUGCGUUGUAUUAGCUAGUGGGUGGGGUAACGGCUCACCAAGGCGACGAUACAUAGCCGACCUGAGAGGGUGCUCGGCCCCACUGGGACUGAGACCCGGCCCAGACUCCUACGGGAGGCAGCCGUAGGGAAUCUUCGGCAAUGGACGGAAGGCUGACCGAGCAACGCCGCGUGAGUGAAGUAGGUUUUCGGAUCGUAAAGCUCUGUUGUAAGAGAAGAACGAGUGUGAGAGUGGAAAGUUCACACUGUGACGGUAUCUUACCAGAAAGGGACGGCUAACUACGUG